GUGCUUUUUACUAAGCUUUUUCAUCAUGGGUACCCUUAGAUAACAUUUUGAAUAUUCUUUGUCCUCUUGGUCUUUAGUAAUUGCUUUGAAAUUAUUUACAUAAAAACACUCAUUUCUGUCAUUUAGCAUUUAGAGUUAGGUACAUAUAGUCAUGAUUAUUGUAACAAGUUAAAUACAAUUAUAUUUUCACAUUUUUCAGAUUAAGAUGGUGAAUAGAUCUUAUUCAAGAAAUGGAGUGCCAAUACAGAUUAUGAAAACCAUCUACAAGUAGUUAAUAUGAAGAGCAGGACUAGGAGACUUGAAACAAGGCAACAUAUGUGAUACCACAACCCUGCUUUUUUUUCUGAUCUACUUUCUUGUCUAAUUUUUUUAAAUACUUCCCCCCCCCAGCUCAGCUAUUUGAUAUCUGGUUGAAUUCAGAUAACAAUUGCCUCUUAAUCUGUAAUUGUAAAAUUAUUUAUUUAGCUUGCACUUUUUUUUUAAAUAGUUCAAGAUGUUGAGUAUUGAUUCAACUUUUAGCUUGGGAGAUAAAUAGCCAAAGCUGUAAAUAGACAGUCCAGGUAAUUGAAACAAGAGGUAAACAUCAUGGGAAGUCCAAUUAUAAGGCAAGUAUUUUUCCUUUAUAUCUUAUUUAACAUAAUUAGUCAAACUAUGUAAUACUUAUAGGCUUUACUAUUGUUUCCAUAGAAAAAACUUUUUUUAAAAUACCAUGAGAUAUUGUAUUUAAGAGAUAUUCUAGCUCAGUAUAUGAUGUUUCCAUAUAUCAUCAGCUUAACAAGCACACAUUCUCUGCUGCCAACAGUACCAAUUUGUCAACCAAGCAACAAAUAUUCCUUGGUAAUCUGCUAUCAGAUAAUAGUUUUCUCGUUGGCAUUUUUAUGAAUUAAAGCUUUCAAGGCUUAAGUAAGACUUACUUUUUUUUUCUUUGACUGCUAAUUCUAAAAUAAUUUAUCAUUGCAUGUUAAAAAUAAUAAAGAACUUUUUAUACAUAUUUCUCUACCAUUUUUCAGUGUUUUGGUCAUGUUUCAGAUUUGUUUAGCAUAAUCCUGUACUACAUAUUAACAAAUGUUUGGUGUGUCUAGUUCAUCUCUCUCACUAUGAAGAUGGCUACACACUAUCAGCAAUGCACCCCUAUGAUAUACAAGUCUUCAUUGCCAAGUCACUCUGCCAAACAGUGUGUAUACCUUUCUUGCAGUGGUAGUACUUUACUGUACUUCAAUCACUUCAGGAGUCUGGAUAUGUCAGCCCAAGGCCAAGGAGAUCAAGUUUGUGUCCAAAGUUACUUAGGUAAUUCUAUGAGAACAAUAGGUUUUUUUUUUAAAGACAGACACUACAUGUUGCUGAUCUGUGGGUUAGUGGCUCAAUCAUUGUGCACUGAUUCUCCACUGAUGCCUUGAUUGCCAUAAGUUUAUCUACUGAUCUACAGAUCAAGGGACUAAAUGGUCUAUUAAACAUGAGGUCAAGGAAAAAGGAUGAACAUUUCAAGGCUGCAGGAGGAACAUUAAACAUCUCUCUCACUGUGAAAAGAUUCUAUCGAUCUACAAAUGGUCAACAUGUUUUAUCUAAAGCUCAUCUGCAAUUUCUUCAAAUGGAGCCAUAGUCAGAAUAAGAUUCUUUUUGUUCUUCCUUAGGUUCAAAUGUAUCAGUUGUUUUUGUUGACAGAUAUCAAGUUUAGUUGCCUACCAGCAGUUUGGUGCUACAAGUCAACAACAGUCAGACUAAAUUAAAUAAAGCCAUGUCUAUUUCUACAUGAUUUUGUUGCUACUAACCUGGUGUUACUAACAACUAACUUGAAAAGGGAGAGGGGAAUUAUCAUCUUAUUCAUGCUCUAACUCUUCAAAUUCUAUAGAAUUGCAGAGAACUGACAUGAAAUAAAACAUUAACAAAAUGUGUAUUAUAAUUGUCAUUUUUCCUCUACUUAGCAUUUUUUUGUCUCCUAGAUUUUCAUAAUAUUUUGUUGAAGUCAUUUCAGUUCUCAAUUAUUUUGUGCACUAAGUUACAAGAAAAAAUUCAAGCAAAAGAGGUCACUACACUAAGACUUUGUCUUCUCAUAAGAAUGGAUGGCUGCCUGGUCAUUUGAUAUGUGUGCUGGACUGUGUGUGGUCAUCUUGAUGCUCAUAUCUUGCCUGAUGACAUUUAUUCUGCUGGACAUUUGGUCAAGGAAGUAGAUUCUCUUCAGCUCUCAAGAAACAUUCAAAACAUGUCAAACAUUUGACAAGAAUAUCAAACAAGUGCAGUGUACAUACCAACAUGAUGAAGAUGUAGACCAACAUGAUGAAGAUGUAGGCCAACAUGAUGAAGAUGUAGACUGACAUGAAGAUGAAAUGUAAACCAAAAUAUUGAUCAAGAGAUGUAUGGAAUAAAAAGUGAACAUCUUGAGAGGGAAAACAAUUCCUAGAGGCAAAGACACAGACACAGUAGAUACAUAAGAGAUUGUUUCCUUUUCUACCAUCAUUUAGAGCCUUUUUUGUGAGGGAACCUGCAUCUGAAAGAACUGAACAUUUCCCUAAUGCUACUUCAAAUUCAGAUCUCCUCCCAACCUCAGGCUGAGUACCUGUGGUCACCUACUUUAUGUUACAUUACCAUAGCACUACAGACAGUGGAAAACAAAUUAUAUGAAGGAAUGCAACCACCAUCAGAUAUUGUUGUCUUUACAGACUCCCAAUCUACUCUUCAAGAACUUAACAGCAGCACCUCAAACAGCACAAGAGAGUUGACAACACUCAUUGUGAUAAUCCAUCAGAUGAUAUCAAAAUUAAAUAUCAAUAUCACACUACAGUGGAUCCCUGGACACAUUGUCAUCAUGGGAAAUGAAAAGGCAGAUAAGCUAUCAAAGGCAGGUUCAUCUAUGGAACAACCAGAUAGACCUGUUAACUACCUCACCCUAAGGUCAAUGUUAGUCAACAAUCACAAAGAGGAGUGGCUCAACCAAUGGGCAUCAGGAAACACAGGCAGAGUUAUGUACAAAGAAAUGACUACACCUAACAAACUGGACAGUAUUAACUUCCUCCCCUGCAAAGAACAAUCUACAAUUUUCCAACUAAGAACAGGACACACUCCACUAUUAAAUUACCACCUGAACAAAAUAAACUCCACACAACUCCUCCUUUGCAGACACUGCGCCCACCCCUUUGAAACCGUAAACCAUAUCCUCUUUGAAUGCUCCUCCCUAAUCCACCUUAGGCAGACCCUACUUCCACUACAGCCCAACAUAACCAACACCCUGUACGGCAGUGCUGAACAACUGAAGAAAACAGCACACUUUUUUUCCUUGGCACAGUCUGCAAAAGAGCUUACAGCUCAGCAGCAAUAAAGCUGGCUAGAAGAAGAAGAAGAAAAAGAGGUUACAUUACAAGAAGUGGUCACAAAGUCAGAAAACCUAACAGAUGACAAUGAGUAGAACAAUCAUUUCUGAUACAGGUACAAGUACUCAAGUGAUGUACUUUGUAAGAACUAAUUAGGUGGAAUCACCAUAAUUGAUUUCUAUCUUGUUCUAUAUAUAGGUAUAUCUUGACAAUCAGUCCAGUCAUUGUUCAUUCGUUUUUAAUAUUCCUUUUGUUCCCUCAAUCAUCUUGUUGUUUCAGUUAAUGUUUUUAUCUUUUUUGUUUUUGGAGGAGGGAGGGGCUGUGGUAUAUUAUUAUUAUUAUUGAAGUCACAACACCAAAGCCUUGCUACAUUAUGCUUUUAAUUCAUCAUCUCCCCUUCUUUUGUGUGCUAUCAUAUUAAUGUUCAUUAGUGUCACAUCCAUGCACAAUUUGUUCUAUGCUUUUUAUAGUGUAAAUAGUGACUUGACAUUAUUUAGAUCAAUUAUAAUAUGUUAUAUUAUAUUUAAAAUAAAACUGUUAGCAUUUUCUAUGAUGUUAUUAAUAUGAAUGUGUUUGUGUGUUGCUAUGAAUGCAUUUUAAGUUUUAGUCUGAAAUCAUAAAUAAGAAAUUGUUUCAUAAACAAAGAUUAUAUUAAUAUUUAAUAUUGUCAGACUUCACUAUAGCAUUGAGUUCAUCCCCAUAAUCUAUUUAAAACUUUCAAAUACUAAUUCACUUUGUCUUAUCUAAUGGUGAUCAUGGGGGUAUCCACUAUCCAUAGUCUCUGGUAUGAACACUCACUGUCCUGGUUAGGGCUAGGAUGUAAUCUCUAUUUGUGAUGGAACACAUGUAAAACCAAGAAAACAAACAGUAGACCUAGACUUUAUUAACAGUCAUGCAAGCAUUUUUUUUAUAAUUGUGAACUGACGCUCUAGAGCUAUUUUUAUUUUUGCUACUUUUGUAGACUAGUGCUAAGCUGUAUGCUUAUACUUCCGCCUAUUAUUAUAUGGGUUAGGGCGAUGCUGUUUCCUGUACUGUUGACCAGAGUGUGUCAGUUUUAAUUAUUCUGUACUUGGAACUGCCUUUAAGUUUCAGAAUUUGUUGUUUUUUUUCUAUAUGUAAAGCUACUUUAUAUAUAUAGUUAUAUAUUAUGGUACAUUAUUUUUCUAAUUGAAACAAGUCAAAAUAAUUGGCAGUUUUUUUUUUUUAAAGUUUGUUUAAAAAUGAUGGCCACUUCUAAUGUUUAUGUACUAGAUCUUUUCCUAAUUUUUUUUUUUUUAUCUGCAGUGUUUUGUAACUGCUGCUUUGCUCAUUUGAAUUAAAGUAUCAUUUUGUUA